CCUACGGGUGGCAGCAGUGGGGGAUAUUGCACAAUGGGGGAAACCCUGAUGCAGCGACGCCGCGUGAGUGAAGAAGUAUUUCGGUAUGUAAAGCUCUAUCAGCAGGGAAGAAAAUGACAGUACCUGACCAAGAAGCCCCGGCUAACUACGUGCCAGCUGCGGCGGUAAUGCGUAGGGGGCAAGCGUUAUCCGGAUUUACUGGGUGUAAAGGGAGCGUAGAGGGUUAUGUAAUUCUGGAGUGAAAGCCCGGGGCCCAACGCCGGGACUGCUUUGGAAACUGGGUAGCUGGAGUACAAGAGGAGCAGGCGGAAUGCCUGGUGUAGCGGUGAAAUGCGUAGAUAUCAGGAGGAACGCCGACGGCGAAGGCGGCCUGCUGGCCUGAAACUGACGUUGAGGCUCGAAAGCGUGGGGAGCAAACAGGAUUAGAUACCCCGGUAGUC
rnacentral:rRNA from 1 species